UACGUAGGGUGCGAGCGUUAAUCGGAAUUACUGGGCGUAAAGCGUGCGCAGGCGGUUUUGUAAGCCAGAUGUGAAAUCCCCGGGCUUAACCUGGGAAUGGCAUUUGGGACUGCAAGGCUGGAGUAUGGCAGAGGGGACUAGAAUUCCUGGUGUAGCAGUGAAAUGCGUAGAUAUCAGGAGGAAUACCGAUGGCGAAGGCAGGUCCCUGGGCCAAUACUGACGCUCAUGCACGAAAGCGUGGGGAG
rnacentral:rRNA from 1 species